ACUUUAAUUGUUAGAAAAUAGUUAAUUAAAAAAAGCACUUACAUCUUUGAAUGUUCUCUCGUACAGUAAAGGAUUUCUGAUAUUGACAUUUAACAAGAUACGGGAUGAGAUCUCCACGAAUGCUAGAAAUAGAUUCUUUCUCCCGGAUCAAAUCAAUAACCCAGUGUUUAAAUACAAAUAUAUGGGCAUCCGAAAGGUUUGUAUUUAACGUAACCCUUGGGUGUUUCCACAACAAAGACAUUCUAAAUGUAAAAUCACUGCCCACGUCUGCGGAACUUUUGGCAUACAAUAGUCUGCUCGUCUUCUCUUCAAUUCCAAUCAGUUGUUUUGCAUCAAUCUCUU